UUUACGUAACAGAACAAGAGUACGACAUUAAGCCAAUACGAGAUAGUGUUAGCCACAGCAGCUCCUUUAAAACCUAAACCGGAUUUCAAAACCAAGACCCAACAUAGGAGGACAUGAAGACAGGUGGUGAUUCCAGAGCAGAUGACCACAGGAAACACAUUGUUUUGUGCCUGCAAAAACCUGUUAAAGCAUUGAAGUAGACCAUAGGCAAAUAUGCUUGGGAUCAUGAAUCUUGCGUAGGAGCCAGCGAGUGUAGCAAUGGAUUUGUCUUGUCCGACGAAGAGAAGAAGGUGUUCUGUGUUAAACCAAAUGAUGGAGAGAGGAACAGAGAGUAGUGUAAGAACAAACAUUGCUCUUUGCAUUUGUAUCCCCAACAUUCCAAACAUCUUUGCCCCGAAUGAUUGGCCACAAAGGGUAUCUAACGCACUUGCUGUUCCCAUCUGUUCAUGAGGAAAUGAAAAAUGGUGGAUUUAGUGUAGUUUUCUUGCUUCACAAGUUUCUGUUAACGCAAUUUGUAAACAAAUACGUGAAUAUUAAACUUUGAUAUAAUGACAUCUUUCACUGUUUUAAUGUUACAUAUUGGCUUCAAGUUUAAGUAGGAAAAGGGGAAAAAAUAUAUGCACAAUGUUUUAAGAAGAACUUUGAUAGCUUGGCGUUUUCACUUUUGUCCGUAAAAUGACAAUUGUUUUUGUUGUUAUUAAAAUUCAAAAGGAGUGGUAGAAAAGAUGCAUACGCAAGUUGAAUAUUCAAACAAGGUGACCUGAUACGUCCAUAAUAUAUAAUUUUCUAUUUAUAUUAUGAAUGAUGUAUAAAUCAUUAUUAUUUUUUUUUUGAUAAGUAUAAAUCAUUAUUAUUUCUAUUUUUAGAGAUACAUCAAUGGUUUAAAAGGUAGAUUAAAAUCCAAAGGUGCAUAAGAAAGGAAAUAAAGUUACCCUUUAGCCAAUCAGUUUAGAAUUCGCUAAUUUCCUAUGAUCAAAUUUCAAUAAAUUAAGAUACAUGCUUAAGUAGAAAUCAAUAUGAGAUAUAUGUAAAGUGAAAGUGAAAAAACUAACGAGGAAACUGAAGCCGGUGACGGAGGCAAAAGAGGUGGCGAUGGAGGCAGCAGAAAGAGGAAGAGGGCCAAGAUGGCCGACGAACAUGACAGAGAUGACUUGAAGGCAAAACUGAAGAAGACUGACGCCGAUUAGUGGACCCGAUAGCCAUAGCUGCUUCUUCAAUUCUUCUUUUACACUACUUUUCUUCUCUUUCUCUCCGAUUAGAGGCCAUGAUAAUACAUUAUUUCCUGUUUCUCUCUCUUCCCUCAUUGUCUUUUAAUCUAGGCAAAUAAAUAGCAAAAGAUAAUGACGAGUAACAAGGAUCUUUCAUGCUUUAAGGGGUUAUUGUGUUUGGUUUGGUCUCUCUCUCUCUCUACUGAUGUGUGGUGUGUGGGGAGUGGGCACUAGUACUUUUUAUUUGUUUUCAUAUUGGUCAAUUGUAAUAUCCGGCUAUUUGACACAAGGACAUGCAGCUUUAAAUUAUAAAUUAGUGUAUGUCACCCACUCAUAUUGUAGGCUAUGUUUUUAUUUGUUUCAAAAUUCAGCUUUAAGAAUUUCUUUUAGGCUUCGGAAUAAAUAUAUAUUUGGAUCCAAAUAACCAAGGGUUAAUUUGUGUAAUAGCCAAUUUUAAGAGAAAAUUAAGAAUAUGACAAUGAUGUUGACAUAAUUAGAUUUUCUAUAAUUUUUUCUCUUUUUCCGGUUUUUUCCUUUUUCUAAAACGGUUAACGGUGAUAACACAUAAAGAUCAUGUAUCACUUAAAUGAAAAAUAAAAUAAAAUAUAUUGUUACAGUGAUGGUGGUUAUGGCAUCGACGAUGAUGGUGAUUACGGUGGCGGUAACUAUGUAUUAGUUAGGGAGGAAGAGGAAGUGACGGUCAUAGAUAUGGGAAAAACAAUGGAUUUUGUAUCUUUUCGGGUUUUAUGUUUAUUUUUUCUUUAAUUGAACCCCAUUUUACGAACUCUUGAAGGCAAGAAUCUUAGCACUGAACGCUUCAUUUUUGCUCAACUGUAAUCGUUCAUCUUAUUCUUCUCGCACCACAAAUUAAAUUUUAAUAGUUCACUUCAUUUGGAGAUGUCUCUUAGAGAAAUCAAACUGUAUCCUGCCUCUGUUCAGGUGAACUGUAUUGACUCAACGUUUCAAGCAGAAGCAGAGUUUCAGAGCGAGGCGAAGAAGCUGCAGCAAGUGCAGUUUAAGCCAGGAGAACAAGUGACUUUUGGAGCCGUUUUGAGCGUGCCCAUGCAUGUGUUGUGGGCGGUUACCGCAUGCCAAAGAAACAAAAGGCUGCAAGCUGCAUAGAAAGAUACUUGGUGUGUAUAGACCAUCCAAGUCAGAAGCUCUGUAUAUUUGUGGACCAGUGUGGUUGGAUUCUUGUUUGUUGUAUUAAGUGAAAGAUGGAUAUAUGCUCUUAUGUCUAGUGUUGUGGGUAUUUGAUCAUUUGAUAAAGAAGCACAUAUGUAAUAUUGAGUGUAUUUUAUCAACUACUUGGCUCAUGAUAAUCUCACUUCAAGAACAGAGCUCAAUGAAAUAGUAAACCCCCAACAUCUAUUCAAUAUUCAAGAAUAUACCUCUACACAAUCCAUAGAAACACUUGGAAAACAAUGACGAAGGUUUAAGACUCAAUUCACCCUAGAUUACCCCAAAUAACUAGCCGACUCUUGUUAGUAGUCAAGACCGAAUCUAAGCAUAAUCCAGUAAAACAAUAACAUUGGUCCCUAAAAUUUUAAAAGUUUUUAACAUAGGCUAAACCGCUUAAGCUUCCAAAUUGUGAAAAAUAUAUUAUUACUUAAAAGAAAAUUUUAUAGUUCCAUCCCACCUUGUUAGUAGUUUAGUACCUUAAUCAACACUGGUUACAAUUAGAAUCGAUACCCUCUCCAGCAGAUUAUUUGCCAUAUGUUGAACAUAUCUGCUGAGUUGAGCGGGAGCAGAAACCCUCUCUUUAAAACCAUAUAUAUUUCAAUAAACAAAAGUUCAGUGUUAAUUCAAGAUGCUAGAUUUUUUGGGGGGGGUUUGAAAAUUUUGAAUUGGUGCCCAAAACAAAAUCUAUUAAAAAUAAUAAUUCUAUUAAAAAUUGUGAUGCUUGUUUACAAGUAUUACCUUUAACUUUCUGUUAAUAUUGGCUUUGUGGAUCCAUAAAAAUUAUAUAUUUCAUGAAUUAACUACAUUAUUACAUGGUUAGAUGAGAAAUAAUUGUAGAAAACUGAAUAUAACUGAUACAACCAUAACAUAAUUCUCGAGGUCAGUACAACUAAGAAAUUUGGAAAAAAAAAGUGAAACUUUGAAGAUAUUUGCAAAACUGCAAACUUGAUAAAAUUUAUAUCACAAAUUGUGUGUGUGUGGGGGAAAAAAGGAGGAUAUUGAGAUUGAACCUUUGAUUAAAUACUACAAAAGAAGAAUAAGAAGAGUAGCCUAGAAGAAGCUGCAAAGGAAUGGAAGAAGAAGAAGAAACGUGAAAAGCAAGAAAGGAGGAAGAACAAGAAGUCAAGGAAGAAAACUUGGUUGUGUAACUUCUGUUGUGUAACUAGAAGUUACACAACAAGAAGAAUAAGAUAUCUAGUUAGUUGCAAAGCUAACUAAGUUAAGUUGAAUUUGUUAGAAUAAGAUAAGUUUGCUUGUGGAAUUAGUCUAUGGCCUAAUAUAGAGGCAUGGACAAGUGGGAGUAGGUAAAGCUAUAAGUGUAAGGGAGAGUAAGUGGAGUUAGUAGAGAAAUCUACUAUAAGUAUGUAUGGUUGUUUUUGAAGAAGAAUUAAUGAAAAAGAGUUAAAAACUUAAAAGAUGUAGACAUACAAAGUGUUCUCUCUUCUCUCUAUACAAACAAAAAAAAAAUGUUAGAGAGUAAAGAGAGAGUGUGAGCUUGUGUUAUGAUUAUACACAAGUGAGAACAAAGAGUGAGGGAGUGAGUGUGCUUUUGGAUGAUUAAACACAAGUAAUAAAGAGAGUUAACAAAACAGAGAGAAGCUGGCCGUGAGUGAUGAAACGUUAGAGAGUAAAGAGAGAGUGUGAGCUUGUGUUAUGAUUAUACACAAGUGAGAACAAAGAGUGAGGGAGUGAGUGUGCUUUUGGAUGAUGAAACACAAAUAACAAAGAGAGUUAACAAAACAGAGAGAAGCUGGCCGUGAGUGACGAAGAGUGAGAUAGGCCAAGCCAAAGAAGAGCAGAAUGACAACAAUUAUGGAUCCAUUGGAGGAGCAUCCCUCACACCUGAAGAAGACUCGACUCUUUUUGUUGCUUUCUUGGCCUAUCCAUUAAAAUUACAGAAUUAUCAUAUAUUAGUUAUAGGUAAAACAGUAAGUGAACAACAAAGCUUUUUUCUUACCUCUUCAUCCCAAUUCGUAAAGACGGUGACAAGUGAAAGACAUAUAACUUGAACAACCAAUGCGCAUAUGAUUCCAAGCCAAAGGCCCUUCAUAUCAAAAUGAUUAUCACAUUUUCUUUUAGAUUACUACAGUUAAAAUUAAUGGUUAUUUUGGAGAAAAGGUUAUGAAAUUUGAGUUGAUUUAAUUUUAAUUUACCCGACCACCAACGUGAAAGUGAAAACCAAGUAACAAGCCUGAAGGUACUCCAACAAAAUAAUAUGACCCAAGAUUUAUGAAUGCUCCUAUCUUCUGCCAUCCACAUCCUCUGGCAACCCCUAUUAAACCAGGAAAAAAUUAAUUAGCAAUAACCAUACUUAACCAAGUGUCUCUACUUGUACGCAAAGAAAGAAAAGGAACCUGAGAGAACACACUGAAGACUGUCAAGAAAAUUGCCUAAGGCCAGAAUCGGCAUCAAUGAGGCUACAUAGGUGACUACUUCCGGUUCACUACUGUAAGCCAUUCCCCAUAUAUUCCUUAUCAGUAUCAAAACCAAUCCAAUCACUAUACUUUCUGCGAUUGCGAUGCAAAUGACCACACGCACCGCAAGCUUAGCCACUCUUGGAUUCCCCGCUCCUAGCUCGUUUGACACCCUCGUGCUGCAAGUAUUUUAAAGGAAAUUCGAUAUGGUUUUAUAAUGAGUUUGAUAUUAAGGUUACGUGAUUUGGGUUAUAUAUGUUUAAUUACCUUGCAGCACCACUAAGCCCAAACGGGAUCAUCCAUACUGUUCCUGCUGUAUUAAGGCUGCACGUAAACAAAAUUUAGUUACUCCCAAAAUUUAACUAAAUACUCUUGGAUUAGGAAGAUAAAUAUAUUCAGUUAUAAGUUUUGUUCUUACCAGAUUGAGAGAACAGAAGUUUCGAGAACCGGGUUUGGAAGCAGUCCUGAUAAGAGAACCAGAAGCUCAAAGGACCACAUCUCUAAGCUGCACUCAAACAAAUCUAACUUGUGAACAAAAAGGCGUUCUUGACCCGUUGACCGCAAGCAGACUAGUUAUUCCGGGUAACUCUCCAAUACAAUACAUUUUAAAUAUCAUAAAUUUAGUAUUUAAGAGACAAAAUCUCAAAAAUAGCACUCAUUUUUAGGGGAAAAAACUAAAUUACUCUUAAUUAUAAACUCUAAUCCCACCAUCCCAUAAAUACUAAACCAUAAACACUGAUUACUAAACAUAAACCCAAAUAUUAUAUAAAAGCCUUUUUAACUUUUAAAUGUUAUUUUAGAAAUUAUUUGAGAGUAUUUAUAAAAGUUUGUUAUCUCUUGUUAUUUUUUUUACUUACCACUUACCAGACCAUAAGUGCAGAAGGAAUAGCUAGUCUCAUAAAAGGGAGGAUGUCGUGUAGAGCCUCCUUAGAGAAACCGGUCCAAGUCAGUGAGCAAGAAGGCGAUAACUUUACGUAACAGAACAAGAGUACGACAUUAAGCCAAUACGAGAUAGUGUUAGCCACAGCAGCUCCUUUAAAACCUAAACCGGAUUUCAAAACCAAGACCCAACAUAGGAGGACAUGAAGACAGGUGGUGAUUCCAGAGCAGAUGACCACAGGAAACACAUUGUUUUGUGCCUGCAAAAACCUGUUAAAGCAUUGAAGUAGACCAUAGGCAAAUAUGCUUGGGAUCAUGAAUCUUGCGUAGGAGCCAGCGAGUGUAGCAAUGGAUUUGUCUUGUCCGACGAAGAGAAGAAG
rnacentral:lncRNA from 1 species